rnacentral:rRNA from 1 species
GACGAACGCUGGCGGCGCGCUUAACACAUGCAAGUCGAGCGAAGCGGCGGACGGGUGAGUAACAAGUGAGUAACCUGACUUAGACAUUGGGAUAGACUCGGGAAACCGGGAUUAAUAACAAAUGGUCUAAGAUGGACUCGCGUCCCAGUAGCUAGUUGGUGAGGUAACGGCCCACCAAGGCGACGAUGGGUAGCCGGCCUGGGAGGGUGAACGGCCACAUUGGAACUGAUCAACGGUCCAAACUCUACGGUAGGCCGCAGUGGGGAAUAUUGCACAAUGGCGGGAACUCUGAUGCAGCGACGCCGCGUGAACGAAGAAGGCUUUCGAGUCGUAAAGUUCUUUUAUAUGGGAAGCGGUACCAUAAGAAAAAGCCCCGGCUAACUACGUGCCAGCCGCCGCGGUAAUAC